rnacentral:misc_RNA from 1 species
GAUGAAGAACGUAGCGAAAUGCGAUACGUAGUGUGAAUUGCAGAAUUCCGUGAACCAUCAAAUCUUUGAACGCAUAUUGCGCUCGAGGCUUCGGCCGAGAGCAUGUCUGCCUCAGCGUCGGUAUUACCCCUCGCUUCUCAACCCCUGGUUGAUGCCUGCCUGCCUUUGCAGUUGGCUAGAAGCGGAUCUGGCUUUCCCAAUUGCCUUUGGUAGUUGGGUCAGCUGAAGCACAGAGGCUUGAGCAAGGACCCUUAUUGGGCUUCAACUGGAUAGGUAGAACUGGUCUUAGGACCAACUACACGAAGUUGUUGCUUGUGGUCCUUGUCUGGAGGCCAGCAGGAAACCUUUAUACCUUCGACCUGAGCUCAGGCAAGAUUACCCGCUGAACUUAAGCAUAUCAAUAAGCGGAGGA